rnacentral:rRNA from 1 species
GACGAACGCUGGCGGCGUGCUUAACACAUGCAAGUCGAACGAUGAAGCCCAGCUUGCUGGGUGGAUUAGUGGCGAACGGGUGAGUAACACGUGAGUAACCUGCCCUGGACUCUGGGAUAACCCCGAGAAAUCGGAGCUAAUACCGGAUAGGACCUUUCCCCGCAUGGGGUUUGGUGGAAAGUUUUUCGGUUUGGGAUGGACUCGCGGCCUAUCAGCUUGUUGGUGAGGUAAUGGCUCACCAAGGCGUCGACGGGUAGCCGGCCUGAGAGGGUGACCGGCCACACCGGGACUGAGACACGGCCCAGACUCCUACGGGAGGCAGCAGUGGGGAAUAUUGCACAAUGGGCGCAAGCCUGAUGCAGCAACGCCGCGUGCGGGAUGACGGCCUUCGGGUUGUAAACCGCUUUUAGUAAGGAAGAAGCGAAAGUGACGGUACCUGCAGAAGAAGCACCGGCUAACUACGUGCCAGCAGCCGCAGUAACAC